UUAAAGUUCCUGAGGUGCCUAAGAAAAGUAUUCAAGAAGAAAUAUCAACUAUAGUUCUUUCUGAAGACACAACGAUAUACAUGUAUGAAGUAUCCGAAGAAUCAACCACAGAAGAAAAAGUAUUUAUGACUCAUCCUCAAAAGACAAAACCCAAACUAGCAAAAGUGCCUGAACCACCCAAGAAAGUUGUUCCAGAGGAUAAAAAAUAUGUGACUAUUCCUAAAAAGAGAGAAACGCCAGC